rnacentral:rRNA from 1 species
GGUUAAGUUAUUAAGGGCGCAUGGUGGAUGCCUUGGCACUAGGAGCCGAUGAAGGACGGGACUAACACCGAUAUGCUUCGGGGAGCUGUAAGUAAGCUUUGAUCCGGAGAUUUCCGAAUGGGGGAACCCAACUUGUUAUGCAAGUUAUCACCUAAUGAAUAUAUAGUUAGGUUGAAGGUAGACGUUGUGAACUGAAACAUCUCAUUAGCAACAGGAAUAGAAAGAAAAAUCGAUACCGUCAGUAGCGGCGAGCGAAAUCGGUAGAGCCCAAACCAAAGUGCUUGCACUUUGGGGUUGUAGGACUGUCGUUGUGGAGUUACAAAAUUGUUUAUUAGCAGAAUCAGCUGGGAAGCUGAGCGAGACAGGGUGAUAGCCCCGUAUGCGAAAGUAAGCAAUCUCCCGUGCAGGAUCCUGAGUACGGCCGGACACGUGAAAUCCGGUCGGAAUCCGCGAGGACCAUCUCGCAAGGCUAAAUACUCCCUAGUGACCGAUAGUGAACCAGUACCGUGAGGGAAAGG